rnacentral:rRNA from 1 species
AUGGAAAGGAGGUUUUCUAUUUCAGACAUCACUUUUCUGAACUUGAUAGCACUUACUGAGACUGAAGGCUAUGGGUCAGAUGACUACAUGUAUUGGGUAAAAGAACAAGGGAUUGGACAGGAAGGUUUAUUUCUUCUGGACAAUCAAGAUGCAGUUGAAGAAAUGGUAGACCACUCAGAUUUCACAGUGCUCAAUAUCAUUGUUUCCAAGGCAAAUGAAGAUACAGAUGUUGAAUGUAACAGGGCUCACAAUGUUUGUGAAGAACAAAUUUCAAUAGGCAGUCCAGUGGGGGGGUCCUGGUUUUGUGUUAAGUCUGUCACAAGAUGGAGUGGUCCACCCUCUUGA